AGUGAACGCUGGCGGCGUGCUUAACACAUGCAAGUCGAACGAGAACGGAUUAUAGCUUGCUAUAAUUGUCAGCUAAGUGGCGCACGGGUGAGUAAUAUAUAGGUAACGUGCCCCAAAGAAGAGGAUAACAGUUGGAAACGAUUGCUAAGACUCUAUAUGCCUUUAUGACAUAAGUCAGCAAGGGAAAUAUUUAUAGCUUUGGGAUCGGCCUGUACAGUAUCAGUUAGUUGGUGAGGUAAUGGCUCACCAAGACAAUGACGCUUAACUGGUUUGAGAGGAUGAUCAGUCACACUGGAACUGAGACACGGUCCAGACUCCUACGGGAGGCAGCAGUGGGGAAUAUUGCACAAUGGACGAAAGUCUGAUGCAGCAACGCCGCGUGGAGGAUGACACAUUUCGGUGCGUAAACUCCUAUUAUAUAGGAAGAUAAUGACGGUACUAUAUGAAUAAGCACCGGCUAACUCCGUGCCAG
rnacentral:rRNA from 1 species